CAGCCCGUGAGAAAAUCUGGGAUAGAAUCUAGGCUGUCCCAUAUUUUGUAUUGUCGGCUGAAGAUGAGCUUGACAAAGUUUUGUGUUAUUUUUAAACAUUUUGUAUUUAUCUGUUUUUGGUGAUGUCAGAUACUAACAGGCAGAGGUUGUUGUUUCUGCAAUAUGACAACAACACCUCGAAUAAAGAGAGUGAAUUAUGCAAACAAAUACCACAAGUUAAACCGGACCCUUAUUUGGAGGGCCACUUCUGGCCCCCAGGCCACAUGUUUGACACCAAAUCACUGCACACUCUUCUUUCAUUUACAUUUUAAGGGUUCUAAGUAUCGGUACGUUCAAUUUUUCAGUAUUUAUUAGGAUGACAGUUUAUUUGAGGAGAAAGCCUCCAGCGUGGACCUUUGCCUGACUGCAGCGUGCAGCUGUGCGCACAGACCGGAGAUGUGUGCGCACUGAGGGCCGUGCUGUUUUGGCCUGCUGCCUUACAUGGGCAAACCUCUGAACUGACUCAGACGAGCUGGAAUUUCAGCGUGACGUCACUGCCUACAACUCUCCCAGAAUUUGGAUCAAGUAGUUUUCACUGUUUUUGGUGGGAUUUCAGCCCCUGUGUUAGGUUUCCUAGAAAGCGAGUGUCAACAGACUUCAACAUACGGCUUUCAUCGUCUU